CAAUAGCGUAUAUUAAAGUUGUUGCAGUUAAAAAGCUCGUAGUUGAAGAUACGAACGCUUACACUAGAACAAAGCUUCCGGUGUCUGCGUUCACUUUUCGCAAAGACAGCCUGGCCCAUUAGUUUGGGUCUUGUUUGAGUUGCGUCAUUUACUGUGAACAAAUUAGGGUGUUUAAAGCAGGCCUACGUUUGAAUACACUAGCAUGGAAUAAUAAGAUAUGAUCUUGGUCGUAUUUUGUUGGUGACUACCAAGAUAAUGAUUGAUAGAAACUGUUGUGGGUAUUCGUAUGAGCAUGUCAGAGGUGAAAUUCUUGGAUUUUGAUCAGACGAACUACUGCGAAAGUAUUUACCAAGGAUGUUUUCAUUAA
rnacentral:rRNA from 1 species